UACAGAGGUCUCAAGCGUUGUUCGGAUUCAUUGGGCGUAAAGGGUGUGUAGGUGGCGCGCUAAGUCGGGUGUGAAAUUUCGGAGCUUAACUCCGAAACUGCAUUCGAUACUGGCGUGCUUGAGGACUGGAGAGGAGACUGGAAUUCAUGGUGUAGCGGUGAAAUGCGCAGAUAUCAGGAGGAACACCGGUGGCGAAGGCGGGUUGCUGGGCUGACACUGACGCUGAUGCGCGAAAGCCAGGGGAGCGAACGGG
rnacentral:rRNA from 1 species